AGUGAGGGCCCUCUGGGUCCAACCUCCCACCCGUGUUUAUCGUACCUUGUUGCUUCGGCGGGCCCGCCGUCAUGGCCGCCGGGGGGCACCCGCCCCCGGGCCCGCGCCCGCCGAAGACACCAUUGAACUCUGUCUGAAGAUUGCAGUCUGAGUGAUUAGCUAAAUCAGUUAAAACUUUCAACAACGGAUCUCUUGGUUCCGGCAUCGAUGAAGAACGCAGCGAAAUGCGAUAAGUAAUGUGAAUUGCAGAAUUCAGUGAAUCAUCGAGUCUUUGAACGCACAUUGCGCCCCCUGGUAUUCCGGGGGGCAUGCCUGUCCGAGCGUCAUUGCUGCCCUCAAGCACGGCUUGUGUGUUGGGCCCUCGCCCCCCAGUCCCGGGGGGCGGGCCCGAAAGGCAGCGGCGGCACCGCGUCCGGUCCUCGAGCGUAUGGGGCUUCGUCACCCGCUCUGUAGGCCCGGCCGGCGCCCGCCGGCG
rnacentral:misc_RNA from 1 species